GUUUCUGGGAGUUCAAAGUCAUUUUAGUUGUUUUCUAUUUAUUUAUAUAUUUUUCUCUAGCAAAACCUGCAGAGAUAAAAAUGGCUCUUGCUGCGCUGGCGCAGUGGCAACCACUGCAAAGCAAAGUGCUCCCCUGAGAUGUGAAACUCAGCAGUUUCCCACUGAGUGCUGGACCAGCUGUGGAAGAAGGAAGAAUAAAAGUGUAAUUGUGGAAACUGCAAAUGCAGCUCAUUGUGCUCUGCUAGAAAUAGAAGCAUUUCACAGCUAAGCGGUUUUGCACUUACCUAGUGAAAAAAGCUGUAGGUGUUGAAAUUCUUCAGAGAAAAUCCAGAAAUGAAUCAUUCUUCUAAGCAACACCAGCAAGCUGCCAUAAAGACUUGCCAGUACCAGUGGAUCUUCUUUGAGCAUCAAACAGUUGCAGUUUAAGUCCCUG